GGUCGAGCGGACAGAUGGGAGCUUGCUCCCUGAUGUUAGCGGCGGACGGGUGAGUAACACGUGGGUAACCUGCCUGUAAGACUGGGAUAACUCCGGGAAACCGGGGCUAAUACCGGAUGGUUGUUUGAACCGCAUGGUUCAAACAUAAAAGGUGGCUUCGGCUACCACUUACAGAUGGACCCGCGGCGCAUUAGCUAGUUGGUGAGGUAACGGCUCACCAAGGCAACGAUGCGUAGCCGACCUGAGAGGGUGAUCGGCCACACUGGGACUGAGACACGGCCCAGACUCCUACGGGAGGCAGCAGUAGGGAAUCUUCCGCAAUGGACGAAAGUCUGACGGAGCAACGCCGCGUGAGUGAUGAAGGUUUUCGGAUCGUAAAGCUCUGUUGUUAGGGAAGAACAAGUACCGUUCGAAUAGGGCGGUACCUUGACGGUACCUAACCAGAAAGCCACGGCUAACUACGUGCCAGCAGCCGCGGUAAUACGUAGGUGGCAAGCGUUGUCCGGAAUUAUUGGGCGUAAAGGGCUCGCAGGCGGUUUCUUAAGUCUGAUGUGAAAGCCCCCGGCUCAACCGGGGAGGGUCAUUGGAAACUGGGGAACUUGAGUGCAGAAGAGGAGAGUGGAAUUCCACGUGUAGCGGUGAAAUGCGUAGAGAUGUGGAGGAACACCAGUGGCGAAGGCGACUCUCUGGUCUGUAACUGACGCUGAGGAGCGAAAGCGUGGGGAGCGAACAGGAUUAGAUACCCUGGUAGUCCACGCCGUAAACGAUGAGUGCUAAGUGUUAGGGGGUUUCCGCCCCUUAGUGCUGCAGCUAACGCAUUAAGCACUCCGCCUGGGGAGUACGGUCGCAAGACUGAAACUCAAAGGAAUUGACGGGGGCCCGCACAAGCGGUGGAGCAUGUGGUUUAAUUCAAGCAACGCGAAAAACCUUACCAGGUCUUGACAUCCUCUGACAAUCCUAAGAUAGGACGUCCCCUUCGGGGG
rnacentral:rRNA from 1 species